rnacentral:lncRNA from 1 species
CCCGUUUUCACAUUCUCCUUCAAAGGGCUUAGUUCAAGCUAAGUGCCACUACAACACCAUUACUGCAUUAUAACCAAGAAGGGAUCCUAGUGACUACUUGCUAGUAAUUACACUGAAGCGAUCCUUGCGUUUGCAUGAACUGUUCAAGCACCAUACACAUUACAAGAUUCCAUUAAAGAUUAAGAAGGACUUAUCACGGCUCGACCUUAUUGUGCACGGGUUGCCGCCUCUCCGGCAUGCCGUAAUCCUCUGACCACCACUGCGGUGCCAUCGGCGGUUCCUUCCCGCUCGCCUGGUUGGCUCGUUGAUUCCGAAAAUCCAUCAACUCUGCAAAAAGAAGAAGAAUAGAGUGCAUGGGUACUAUUCCCACAGAAGAACGUUGAAGAUGACAUUCUGAAAGCAUGUAUCAGUGUGCUGUACCAUGGAAAACAUGGGAUCUAAGUGUAGAUGCUGCUCCACAAGAGGCCAGCAAGAGAAAUAAUCCCAUGAUCUUGAUGAGGGCAGCGACGCUUGACUUCAUAUCAUCAGCUUCUUCUCCAUAAUGAUUUUCCCCUCCCUCUCUAACUCUUUCCAGAGAUCACUUGCUGAGGCUGCAGAUAUACUGGAGCAGAUGCAGAAGACAAAGGCAAAGAAGGAUCCACCAAGAAAAC